rnacentral:rRNA from 1 species
UUGAUCCUGGCUCAGGACGAACGCUGGCGGCGUGCCUAACACAUGCAAGUCGAACGGAGAUAGUUAAUGAAGCUUGCGAUUUAGCUAUCUUAGUGGCGAACGGGUGAGUAACGCGUGGGUAACCUGCCCUUAAGACCGGGACAACAGCUGGAAACGGCUGCUAAUACCGGAUGUAUUGUCCGAGAGGCAUCUCUUGGAGAAGAAAGCUGGCCUCUGAAAAUGCUAGCGCUUAGGGAUGGACCCGCGUCUGAUUAGCUAGUUGGUGGGGUAGCGGCCUACCAAGGCGACGAUCAGUAGCCGGCCUGAGAGGGUAAACGGCCACACUGGGACUGAGACACGGCCCAGACUCCUACGGGAGGCAGCAGUGGGGAAUCUUCCGCAAUGGACGAAAGUCUGACGGAGCAACGCCGCGUGUAUGAAGAAGGCCUUCGGGUUGUAAAAUACUGUUGUUAGGGAAGAACGGCAUCUGUGUAAAUAAUGCAGGUGAUUGACGGUACCUAACGAGGAAGCCCCGGCUAACUACGUGCCAGCAGCCGCGGUAAUACGUAGGGGGCAAGCGUUGUCCGGAAUCAUUGGGCGUAAAGGGCGCGUAGGCGGCAAUAUAAGUCUGAUGUGAAAGUGCGGAGCUUAACUCCGUAAAGCAUUGGAAACUGUAUGGCUUGAGGACAGGAGAGGAAA